ACUGACACGAACGAUUACGAUGUGAAAAUGCGGAACGUCUUCAAGUUCCUCGAAGGCGGCGACAAGGUGAAGAUCACGCUGCGUUUCCGUGGCCGCGAGAUGGCGCACCAAAACUUGGGUCGUGAACUGCUCGAGCGUGUUGCUGAAGACACCAAAGAGAUGGGCCGGGUGGAGAACUUCCCCAAGAUGGAAGGCCGCCAGAUGGUCAUGGUAAUCGGGCCUCUGCCCAACAAGUGAUUUGAACUGCGGCGCUCUAGAAGCGCCGCUUUUCGUUUCCACAACGUAAAACGCCCCCGGAUCACUCCGGGGGC
rnacentral:misc_RNA from 1 species